GUUUCGUGGGCAUCAGAAUCGAGGGUGUGAAAAGAUUAGAUUGAUGGAGUGAAGCUAAUAUUAAGCUAGAGUGGGUUUGGUUUCAUCAGGAACGAGGGAAGAUGAAGAACAUCUAUGAUGAUCCUUUGAUCUUUCUAAAUAUGCCUUCUCUAUCAGGAAUGAACCAUCCAAUCUCAUUGCUUAUCAAAUCUUUUUGAGUCUGCACUGCAACAACAACAUUUCUCUCUCUCAUUAAUAAUAAAUAAUAAUAAUAAUAAAUUAAUUAAACAAUAAUCACCCCCACCACACCACCUCCUCUUUCUUCUCUCUCUUAUUUAUUCUCAUGCUCCAUCACAUCUUUAAUACGCCACACCACAUGCUUUCCCUUCACUUUCUUCCUUGUAUUGGUAGCCCAAACAAAACCCCAAUCUGACUUUGCGAUGUUUCAACGGCGACUCAAAAGCAAAGCCCGGACAUAGUUUGUCUUCACGUGGGUUUAACAAAGGGUUGCUUACAGAGUUUCUUGGCAUUCUGUCCACCUCCACUUCUUGGCCCUAUCUACGUACUCGGAGGUGGAUAUACUGCCAAUAGAGCUGUGUUGGCUUCUCUUUGUCAAGCCUCCGUGAUACUAUAAAUCUCAGUUAAAUACAUAAACACUUUUUUCCCAUUUUUCUUUUCUGGCUAUCAAUUAUAUGAGGAUCCCACCGGUCGUUUGCAAAAAAAUGCUAAGAAAUCGGAUAAAGAGUAGAACGCCUCGAGUCGCUUGCCGCUUGCUUCUGGUGUUAGAAAGAAACCCUAUAAUCUUGUUUCCCUCCAUUCUUAUGAAACCCUAUAUUUCCCUUAGAACUUGGGCCUUUCCAUGUUUCUUUAAUUCUACUAGUCUAGCGAUUGUUUGAUGUUUCUAGUUUAUUUCUUAAAAUAAAUUCUUGACGUUGUGUACGUUUGGUUUUCUAAGAUGUGGGGUCUAGGGUUUUUACUUUCUUAAGGGUAGUACCAUUUGCGACUUUACAUCCCUUUAGGAAUAAAGGGAGUUGAAUAAUUUUCUAAUUUUGAUAGCCAAGGGCAAGUCUUUCAUGGCUAGGAUCUCCAGUUUCUUGCAGAAAUGAAUACUUAUUUUAGGAUGGAUGCA